UCAGGUGGCUAUAGCACAAGGGUUCCACCUCUUCCCAUUCCGAACAGAGAAGUUAAGCCUUGU
rnacentral:rRNA from 1 species